rnacentral:miRNA from 1 species
GUUCGGUGAUGAAACCAUGGA